rnacentral:lncRNA from 1 species
GGGGUCAUUGUACAUUGUCUGACUGUGACUAAUCAUAUCACUAUGAGCUUGGAAGACUCAGAUCGGGCACAAAUAGCCCAUAUGAACUUUUGGGAUGGUGAAGGAGAUGUCUCCAAAUCUGCCCAUCUCAUUUCUUUUGAGCUUCUACAGUUCUGCUAUGCCCACACAGCACAAAGCUUCUUUGAUGCAGAAUGCCAUGAUGGACAGAUCUGUUCCAGUGUCUUCCAUGUCCCACAAUCAAUACCAAAGUUCUUCAGAGAGAUUUUUAGAGUGUCUUUGUAUCCCUUUUUCUGGCUUCCAUGUGAGUGCUUGCCUUGGGAGCUUAGGAGAGGAGUCUGCCAUCUUGCCAGGACCUGUUCCUCAAUGUAGUCUCUUAGGCAAAUGUGCAUUGGGCAUUCAGUUCCUUUCAUCUGAAUCAGCCUUCUUGCAUUUAUCAACCAGAAAAUGAGUAAAAGCUACAGAUGGAAAAAUCCUGAAAUAACUGUGCAUGAUGCAGGUGGGCUGAAAAACUUUUGGGAGAAAAAAAUUGAACAUCAUGCAAAGAAAGUACAAAAUGAAGACUCUCGAAUAAGCAAGAGUGCCCUGGAUAAGCUCCGCUGUGAAUGGGCUCAGAGACUGGAAAGAAGAAUCAAGAUGCUACAGCAGCCUGAGGAAGUAUCCAAGAAGUCAUCUCUAAUCCCUAUUGAAUCUUUCCCCCUUAUUGAUAAAACAGUAGCCUGAAGUUAUAACUAAAAUGACAAAAUAGGGAAAGUGUUGUUUCAUGGGGAAUGAAAGCCCCUUUAGGAAAUUCCUGUGGAGCAGCAAAAAAAUAAAGUAAAAAUGAAUCCCA